rnacentral:rRNA from 1 species
CCUACGGGAGGCAGCAGUGAGGAAUAUUGGUCAAUGGACGCAAGUCUGAACCAGCCAUGCCGCGUGCAGGAAGACGGCUCUAUGAGUUGUAAACUGCUUUUGUACGAAGGUAAACGCAGAUACGCGUAUCUGUCUGAAAGUAUCUUACGAAUAAGGAUCGGCGAACUACGUGCCAACAGCCGCGGUAAUACGGAGGAUUCAAGCGUUUUACGGAUUUAUUGGGUUUAAAGGGUGCGUAGGCGGUCGGAUAAGUUAGAGGUGAAAUACCGAGGCUCAACUUCGGAAUUGCCUGUGAUACUGUGCGGCUAGAGAGUAGUAGCGGUAGGCGGAAUGUAUGGUGUAGCGGUGAAAUGCUUAGAGAUCA